GUGAUUAAAUCAGAGCGUGUCUUCAUUGACCGCUCACCCUUCUCACCAUCCACAUACACCUGUGCACUGUUAGCCUGAGCCGGUUUUCCGGCCAGGUUAUCAUUUCAUACAAACUCUAGUCUUAUGAAUGUAAACGUUUUAAUAACAUAAUA
rnacentral:misc_RNA from 1 species